GGUCUUUCCUGAGCUGGGAGGAGUGGAGGCGACGGAGAAGCUGAGGUCCCAGUCACAAUCCAUUUUACCUCAUUUAUCAUGUAGUAUUCGUGUUUCCUAAACUAAAUACGCAAUACCUAGAUUAAUAAUGCACAACAGCCAUACAGGGAAACUGCAUAUUAGCGUUAAAAGGUUUCUACGUUCUGUACGUUCACGUUUGUCAGCGGAACCCCUGCUUCUGCGCGGAUUGUGCGCAGCUGCAGCCAAGCGUAAGCUGAAAAUUGUAAAGUUAAGCGCUGGGGAAGCUUGAUUUACGCCCACGACGAGGUCAGGCAGUCUCUGCGCCCUAAAGGUCCCGAAACUCCCCAGUUAGGAGGUGUUCUGGCUCUGUCAACUUCGUGAAUGCCACCUGAAGCUAAGGGAAUACAUCCUUUCUUUCUUUCUUUUUUUUUUUUUAAUGCCAAGAGAAAUGUUUCUGUUGCACACAGACAUUACUGAAAGUGUUCGCCAGUAAGGACCCUAGGCUUAAACAUCGAAUUUAGGGCCCUCAUCCAAACCCCCUGUCUCCCAACAUGUAUGUUUUUAACUUUUCUCGAGGUUUUCACAGCUCUCAGUGUGACCAGAGUAGUUGAGGGUGACCACCUAAAGGUAAGCCACACUCCUAAGAGGAUUGCAAAGCUCAGUGGCUCUAGGUAGCAGGAUAGACAAGGCACAGUCCUACAAUUAAUAUUCAGUUAAUUUUAUCACAAAGCAUUUCCAGUGUGUUUCUCAUGUCCUCAGCCAAAAUGAUGAUCUGCCAACACCCCCUUCAAUC
rnacentral:lncRNA from 1 species